rnacentral:pre_miRNA from 1 species
UCUAGAGUUCUCCCGAACACUUCAUUGGAAAUAUGUUAUUCUUAUUAGCUAACAUUUAAUUCCACUGAAGUGUUUGGGGGAACUCCGGA